GACGAACGCUGGCGGCGUGCCUAAUACAUGCAAGUCGAACGGUCUUUUCUAUGGAAGCUUGCUUCCACUGAGAAGAUAGUGGCGAACGGGUGAGUAACACGUGGGUAACCUGCCCAUAAGAGGGGGAUAACAUCCGGAAACGGGUGCUAAUACCGCAUAGUUUUCUUGAUCGCACGAUUGAGAAAGGAAAGACGGCCUUUGUGCUGUCGCUUAUGGAUGGACCCGCGGCGUAUUAGUUAGUUGGUGAGGUAACUGCUCACCAAGACGAUGAUACGUAGCCGACCUGAGAGGGUGAUCGGCAACAUUGGGACUGAGACACGGCCCAAACUCCUACGGGAGGCAGCAGUAGGGAAUCUUCCGCAAUGGACGAAAGUCUGACGGAGCAACGCCGCGUGAGUGAAGAAGGUUUUCGGAUCGUAAAACUCUGUUGUCAGAGAAGAACAAGUCGGAGAGUAACUGCUCCGGCCUUGACGGUAUCUGACCAGAAAGCCACGGCUAACUACGUGCCAGCCGCCGCAGUAACAC
rnacentral:rRNA from 1 species